CCUACGGGGCGCUGCAGUGGGGAAUAUUGGACAAUGGGCGAAAGCCUGAUCCAGCCAUGCCGCGUGUGUGAAGAAGGCCUUCGGGUUGUAAAGCACUUUCAGUGGGGAAGAAAGCCUUGGGGCUAAUACCCUCGAGGAAGGACAUCACCCACAGAAGAAGCACCGGCUAACUCCGUGCCAGCAGCCGCGGUAAUACGGAGGGUGCGAGCGUUAAUCGGAAUUACUGGGCGUAAAGCGCGCGUAGGCGGUCUGAUAAGCCGGUUGUGAAAGCCCCGGGCUCAACCUGGGAACGGCAUCCGGAACUGUCAGGCUAGAGUGCAGGAGAGGAAGGUAGGAUUCCCGGUGUAGCGGUGAAAUGCAUAGAGAUCGGGAGGAACACCAGUGGCGAAGGCGGCCUUCUGGACUGACACUGACGCUGAGGUGCGAAAGCGUGGGUAGCAAACAGGAUUAGAUACCCCUGUAGUC
rnacentral:rRNA from 1 species